rnacentral:rRNA from 1 species
CAGCAGCCACGGGAAUACAGAGGGUGCAAGCGUUAAUCGGAAUUACUGGGCGUAAAGCGCGCGUAGGUGGUUUGUUAAGUUGGAUGUGAAAGCCCCGGGCUCAACCUGGGAACUGCAUCCAAAACUGGCAAGCUAGAGUACGGUAGAGGGUGGUGGAAUUUCCUGUGUAGCGGUGAAAUGCGUAGAUAUAGGAAGGAACACCAGUGGCGAAGGCGACCACCUGGACUGAUACUGACACUGAGGUGCGAAAGCGUGGGGAGCAAACAGGAUUAGAUACCCCUGUAGUCCCUGUCUCUUAUAC